rnacentral:rRNA from 1 species
CCUACGGGUGGCAGCAGUGGGGAAUAUUGGGCAAUGGACGCAACUCUUACCCAGCAAUGCCGCGUGAAUGAAGAAGGCCUUCGGAUUGUAAAGCUCUUUAAUCGGGGACGAAAAAAAUGACGGUACUCAACGGAUAAGCACCGGCUAACAACGUGCCAGCAGCCGCGGUCAUACGUAGGGGGCAAGCGUUGAUCGGAAUGACUGGGCGUAAAGGGUGUGUAGGCGGUGUAGCAAGCGAGAAGGGAAAUACCUAGAGCUUAACUCAGGUGCUGCUUCUAAAACUGCUAUACUUGAGUGCAGUAGAGGAAAGGGGAAUUCCUAGUGUAGCGGUGGAAUGCGUAGAUAUUAGGAGGAACAUCAGUGGCGAAGGCGACUUUCUGGACUGUAACUGACGCUGAGGCACGAAAGUGUGGGGAGCAAACAGGAUUAGAUACCCCAGUAGUC